UUUAGAUUGCUAACAACAGAAAAUACAUUUUGUUGACUUUGUUUUUUAAAAAAUGAGGGUAGGCGACAUGGCUGGGGACAAAGGAGAGGGAUGGGGGUGAGGUCAGCAAUGUAGCUAGGGAUAAGGGAAAGGGAGAGCUUAGCAUCGGGAGGAAAAACGAUCGAGGGAGCGGCAGAGAAAGAGGGAGAUGAAGGGGGAUGGGGCCAACGGCAUGGCCAAGGAAAAGCAAUAGCUCGGCGUCGAGUGGAGAAGUAGCUAGCAAGGAUUGAAGAUUGAUGCAGUCGUGUAGGAGUGAUAUGGCCAAGGGCAAGGUCGGGCAGUUAAAGAAGGGUCGGGAGGAGAGGGGUGAGAAUUCACUUUUAAAAGAAGUGGAAGUUAAAAUUUUUCACCUAUACUUUUUUUAGAAUUCACGAAAGUUGUUUAAAAGAAAAAAUAGAAAUAAGGUAACCAAAUAUAUUUUCUGCAUCAGAUUCUGUCAUUUUAUCUUCCUUUUGAAAAUUUACCUAUGAAGGGACUUGUGAUGGCAGUUGUGAUGUCUAAUUAUGCAUCCAGCACAAAUAGUUUGGUGGAUAGAAAUUACUUAGAUAUACCAACAUACAUAAUAAUGUUUUAAUUCUAUUAUACCCCAAAAAGGGAGUAGAUGCAAAAAAAAAGACAUACUUGAUUUAACAAAGGAAAUAAUGGAUGUGAUAUUUGGGGGCAGUUAGGGAUGGUGUUAUUGGAGCAUCUAGCAAGGCACUUGGUUGAGCAAUAGAUUCUUAGAUAUGUGAAGAAGACCUAGCACCCUUCUUUUCUUUUUCUACACCAUAAAAGUAGACUCCAUCAAGAACAAGCUAUUUAAACAUUUAAAAAAAAUAUUCAAAAAUUAAUUACUAACAAGCAACAAGAUGCUAAAAUGAAUUGUUAUUUACUUAUUUGUUCUUGGGGUGAACUUUUCUUUAUGCUUCUCAAAAUGGCCUUUAAUUCUAUCAUCUGAAACUACUUUGGACCUCACGUAUGGGGGAUUUAAUAAUGGAGCCUCAUCAUCCUCACCGCUGCCAAUGUCAUCUUCUUUAACUAUUUUUUUAGUUCCUAUAUAAGAAUGUACAUCUACACUCAACCUUUUGAGGAAACUACUUCUAAGUUUUUUUUGCUCUCACCUCAGGAGAAUCCCAAAGAAUUCUCCUUGAUUCCUCGUGCCCUUGGCUCAACAAUACAAGGUUACAAGAAUAUCUCAUUGGACAAUUGCAAUAAAUCGGUUCCGCCUUAGUGGUGGACUACUGCUGUGAUGGCUCAUCUUGCUUCAAUUUAUACAUCCUUUUUCUAGCAUCUUUCAUCUACCAUUUUCGUUUAUAACUUUCUAGAAUUCUAUGUGCAUUUUUUUGUUUAACACUUUUAAAGCAUGUGAGCAAAGUAUCACAUGGAAUUUUAUGGCAUGAUGCUGCACCACAACACUCAAGAAACUCCUCAAAUAACUUAUAUAUUUUAUGUGUAUAAACUUUGGAUAUAUUCUUCGAAAUCUCGCUAUGUUUGAUUGCUCGUGUAGAGGCACUUUGAGCACAACGAAAAUCCUCUUCAUAUUCAUUUCUACACUAACCUUUAACUAACUUUUCGAAGGCAAGUACAAACUUUGUGAGAAAUAUUGAUUUAUCAGCUAUGCCAUUUAAGACAUUAACAGUACUCUCACUCCUUUGAGAUGAUUUAAUGCCAUCAUUGAAAGUAUCUUCGUUAAGAGCCUUGUGUCACCUUUGACGAAGCUUAUAUAGACUAUUAAGCCACUUGUGAUCUUAGGAAUUAUACUCAGAAAACAUCCUAGCCUAUGUUUCUUCAAAUUCCACUUAUGAUUAACAUCUCUGCAAAUAUUUGUUAAACAACUAUCGGAAAGGGUGACCAAAAUGAAAGCUACCCAAAUGAGACCACAUUCUCAUAGAUAUUCUAUAAAUAAAGGUGAUGGUGUGUAUUUGGAAACACAUCUUCAAUUGCUUUUCCAUUGCCCGAUCGAUCACCCAUUGACUCUAAGAAUGUCUUAAACAACUAUAUGAAGGAUGUUGUUAUCUCAUCUAACAAGAAAGCACACCCAAACAUGAUAUUUUGCUAAUGGUGGUUAACCCCCAUAAAUGGUGCACAAAUUAAGUUACAUCUGUUUAUGUGAUAAGUAGUUUCGAAAUCCAUUACAUCUGAAAACAAUCAUCGUCGAUUCUAAAUCUCCCAUCCCUCCAAAAAAACGUUUGUCAUUCUACCCUUUCGAUCAAUUUGCACAUCCCAAUAAAACAUGCCCUCUUGAUUUGUCAUAUGCUUGAAAUGGCUUACUAGACUUUGAGAGUCUCCAGUUUCAAGUAGCAUCAUUUUCUAAAUAUCAACAUAAUUAUAACAAUCACAUUUUAUAAAUCCCACAUUUUCAAUUUUACCCCCUUCUUCAACCAUAUAAGAUAAGGCAUUAAUUGCUCGAAAUUCUAGAUCCACCAUUGAAUCCAUUACUUCUCAGAAGUUAAUGAGAAGUAAAGACCGUUCAGACCUCAACAAAUGCCUUUCCUCCAGUUUAGCCAGGUGAUGAUUGUGUUUAGAAAGUAAUCUAGUUAUCUUCCAUUACCCUAGCUCAUCAACUAUAAAAUGAACCAUUGCUUUGCAAUUAGUUCUAGUAUCAGGCCAAGUGUAUUUGUCUUAUUAGGUAAGUAUCAUCCUUCAAUCCUUCCUUUAGUAACAAUAGUCCUUUUGUAUAAUUUUGUUUAUCUUGGUGAAGCAAUAUUACUUCUCCCUUCUAACACUAAAAUCAAAGUGAUGAGCAUAAUCACAAUAUAAUUUUUAGGCCUCCUCUUCACUAUGCUCAACCUACCAUAACAAGGCUUCACUUGCCAUGCACCUUAUGCUUUAAAACAACAGUAAAAAUAUUCACAUUUUCAUCCAUCUCAUGGACAGAUGUAGCUUCCACUUCUCCCUUACUAUCAAUAUAAACGGCACCUCCAUCAUUGGCAAGAAAAAUAGCAUCUCCAACCCAUUGUGGAGUACAACAAGAGCUCUCUAUCACUGUAGUGUUAAUCAUAAAUAUUAUAGCUCAGUUUUCAGAAAGAAAAUAUUAAAUUACAAGUUGAAAAUACAUCAGUUAUAUAGGAAAAAGCAGAAGUAGGGCAGAUAAUUGCAGAGAAGAAAUAGGAAAAAGCAAAAUUAGGAUCUAGCCACAUAAAAAGAUAGAGAAAAAAUAUCCCUGAAAUAUUAUUUGAAUAGAUGAGAUUAUACCAAUUCCAAAAGAAUUUUUUUUAGAAAAAGCACAUUGCAUUCAUAAUCAAGGUUUACAACAUGGCAAAGUAUCUUCUCACGAGUAAAUAAAUUUCUACCCAUAAAGAUCUGCCAUUUGGCUAUGGAAAAAAUCAUGAAUAAUUCAAGGAUAAAGAUUCAGGAAAUAUUUUCACUAUAUCUGUGUUUUAGUUGAAAAAAAUAGUAAUUAGUCUAGUGGAAGGAAAAACAGUUCGGAUUCAUUAUUCAUGGUGUUGUAACAAAGAUUCCAAAUUCCUUUUGUCUAGUUUAGCAACACUAGUUGAGGUCUGUCCUUCAAGGAAUUGAGGUUUGAGUGUUUUAUUGACGUAUAUUUGGGAUUUCAAAUUUCUAUGGCCAUGGGAGCCAAUGGAUCUGAAGGUAUGGGCUAGAGAUGGGCUUGACAACAGGAAGUCUGGAACUGGUAGGUAAUCAAAGGGACAACUAAGGUCGAGAUGGAGGUGAGAGACAAAAUCAAGAAGCAAAGGAGCAUGUACCAAAAAAGAAGCAGCAAAGGAACAAAGAAAACCAAUCAAGAUGGAAUGCCUAUAUUGAUGGGACUCUCCCAUACCUCUAUCAGUUUUUGAACAAUAGGAAAGGACCAUUCAUCAACAAUUCUAAUGUCUGCUCUUAUUUUAACCAGUACCUACAGAUGGGGCUUAAAGAGAUCGAGCUAGCAAAUUUGUAGAGAACGAUUGCUUGGUAAGGAGUCAACAAAUGUUGCGAGGCGGCGAUGGGGGCCGAGCCAAAGGUCAGUGGUGGUGUCUAGGUCCAAGGAGGGAGGAGGUCGGUCUUAUGGAGCUAAGGUCCGGUGGUGGGCUAGGAAGAGGCGAUGACUAGGUUUAGGGUUUCUCAGCCUCUCCUUUUUUUUUAGCUGAAAAAUAUUGUUUCCUAUUGAUCACACAUGGCAUUCAUGUGACAAUCAACCAUGGUUAACCAAAGAUGGGUUUAAAAAUUGUUGGAGCUUUUUUUAUUCCGAAUGGAUGAUGUGGCAAGUUAUCAUUGGAUGGCCUAUAAUCCUAACAGGCAAACUUUUUCUACCUAAUAAUUUCUCAUUAGGAUGGAUGCCAAAUGCAAAAUUAUGCCAGCCCUUUAAACCAUCUUGUGCCCAUAUCUAAAAAAUCCAAUAAACAUGGAUGGCUG